rnacentral:rRNA from 1 species
CAUUUAGAGGAAGGAGAAGUCGUAACAAGGUUUCCGUAGGUGAACCUGCGGAAGGAUCAUUGUCGAAUCCUGCAAAGCAGACGACCGCGAACUUGUGUAAUUGCCGGGCGUCGGGGAACGGGGGAGACUAAAGCCUCCCCUAACUCCCCGGCGCUCCCCGCGCACCGCGCGGACAACAACUCAACCCCGGCGCGGAAAGCGCCAAGGAAAACUCAAAAGGAUUGCCCGCCUCCCCGUGCGCGGGGUGUGUUGUGGCGUCUGUCGUAACCAAAACGACUCUCGGCAACGGAUAUCUCGGCUCUCGCAUCGAUGAAGAACGUAGCGAAAUGCGAUACUUGGUGUGAAUUGCAGAAUCCCGUGAACCAUCGAGUCUUUGAACGCAAGUUGCGCCCGAAGCCAUUAGGCCGAGGGCACGCCUGCCUGGGCGUCACGCAUCGCGUCGCCACCCCCCUUUUGCGGGGCGGCGGAUACUGGCCUCCCGUCCCAAGAAGGCGCGGCUGGCCUAAAUUCGAGUCCUCGACGGGGGACGUCACGACAAGUGGUGGUUGAAUGCCUCAACUCGAUUCCUGUCGUGUUCAUUGGCCUCGUCGUUUCUCGGGCUCCUUGACCCUUCUUGCUUGCAUCUCGAUGCGAGCCUCGACCGCGACCCCAGGUCAGGCGGGAUUACCCGCUGAGU